rnacentral:rRNA from 1 species
UGAGAGCAAUCAAGUGCCUUAAGGGUGUUCGGUGGAUGCCUUGGCGCUGAGAGGCGAUGAAGGACGUGCUACGCUGCGAUAAGCCGUGGGGAGCUGCGAAGAAGCUUUGAUCCAUGGAUUUCCGAAUGGGGAAACCCACCUUCGAUAGCCGGAACUCCAAGACCUUUGUCGAAAGACAUCGGUGUGGGGUUCGAUCAGAAAUGAGAGAUGCCUAAGCCUUUAGAUUUCGAUCGAAGAGGUUUUGGAUUUCCGGUUAUCAAGAGAAGGUAUGAGACUUCUGAAUACAUAGGAGGUUUCAAGCAAACCCAGGGAACUGAAACAUCUAAGUACCUGGAGGAAAGGACAUCAACAGAG